UGUUUUAAAAAUCUUAAAUAUUAUAAUAACUAAGAGAUUGUUUUUGUUAACCUUUUAUACAAUUAAAUUAUUCAUUUUUUAUACUAUAAAAUUAUAAUCUAUAAAUUUAUUAUUAAUAUAAAACAUUUUUCAAAAUACUAUUUAAAACUUAAAAUAAUUAGCAAUAAAAUCUCUUAUUUUUAAUAAUAAUUUUAUUAAAUAACAGUAUUAGUUAUGUUAAUAAUUAAUGUUUAUUAUUAAAAUAAUAAUAAUAUUUAUAUUAUAUAUAUUAUAUAUUAUUAAAAUAUAAAUAUGCAUGUUUAAUAAUUUUAAAAUAUAUAUUAUAUGUGAUAUCAAUUUAAUAUUUCUAAAUAUUUUAAAAAAUAAAAUUAACAAUUUAUUGUUAGUACAAUAAUACUUGAUGUGAUUCACAUUAAAUUUUUUUAAAUAAAAAAUCAUAUUAAUUACUUAUGAAGAGUUCUUUUCUGAAAAUAUUCUGUUCUUUUAUUGACCAAAUGAUUUUCCAUGUAUAAUAAAAAUAUUUUCAAAAAAUAAUUUUUAGGGAACAAAUAUAAUCUAGGGCUAAGUGAAUGAAUUUCCUUAUUUUAUAAUGGGCAUGUAAAACCCUAGAUAACCAAUCUAAAAUCUAUAAAACAUUGGUAAAACCCUAAAGGACCAUAGCUCACUCCAAAUUUAUCACCUCACUGGUAGGAAAUGGGGGGAAACAUACAUAAAAACACCAACAAUGGUUGUUUCCAACUUUGUUUUUCUUCAACUCCUAUUCCCAUAAAACCCUGUUCUAAGGCAUAUUGUGCAGCAUCAUUUAGUUGAUGACUAAGCAAUUCAACUUUAGGCAUCUAAAAUCUCUUUUGAUUUGAAUGGAGGAGACCAUCAAAACACCCAGACACUAUCUACUGCACUGUGCUGCAGAUUUAAGAAUCAAGGCCCAUGAAUGACGACCCUAUUGCAGGCGAAUGGAAGCGUCGCGAGCCCACAGUCUACUCAUGGGGGAAGCACACACAUUAUAUCCGCAAAAGAUAAAAUAGAGAAUGGAGUAGUGGAGAGGUGCUUAUUUGAAGCCAAUCCCACUGCAGGGCCCAACAGAUCUUGUUAAUCAGAAGAAUAUAUGAUUUCUUAUAGUAAAAACGAGAAAUACCAAUGCCAAUGUCCAAUAAGAUUCUCUUUUCAACAGGGCUUUAAUGACCAAUAUGUUAAAGAAGUACAUUCAAAUGGAGGGUCUCCCUUUUUUUCCACAAUUCCAAAAAUUACUUCUAUGUAUUCAACAGUUAGUCCUCAGCUUUUGAGCUUUGGGGAGGGAUGGGAACUAGGGCCUACAGGCUUCUUGUUUCUGUUCAGUAAUUUUUUUUAUGGAUCACAUUGAGAUGAAAUAAGCUUGGGAUAUCAUAUUUUGGGUUCACCAACCUUAUCCAAUGUUUAAAUGUAUGCUAUUUUUUAAGAGAAGUUUCAACUAGUAAAUAAGAUGAAGACCAAAAAGAGAUUCCCUUUCUUGGAGGAAUUACCCUUAAGUCCACCUUUAUAUUUUUCUACAGUUUUAGAAUAGGAAUUACCCUUAGAGAUUCCUUUUCUUGGAGGAAUUACGGAGCAUUACUGGAAUUUAUAAAUCAAAUAAACGGACAUUUCAUAUAAUAUAACAUUCAUAUCAGAAACUAAUCGAAAUCAAACAUAUUGUCCCUUAUACGAGCCAUCAGGGCCCAAAAUACGCAUUAGAAACAAGUCAAGACUAAAUUGGGUACUCAAAGAAUUUCUUUUUUUUUAGAAAAUAUUGCAAGUUUUUAAAGUUGCAAAGGUAACACGGCCGUGUGGCUAGGCCAUUUGACUCACACAGUCAGGAGACACUAUAACACCCCUAACCCGUAUCCGUCGCCAGAACAGGGUUACGAGGCAUUACUAAGGAGUACAGAACACUUACAGAUAGAGGUGUGCAUGGGCCGGGCCGGGUCGGGGUCAAGCUCGGGCUGGGCCCAGACAAAAUUUUAGGUCUAUUUUCUAGGCCCGGCCCGAAAUAUGGGCCUAAAAAUUUGUCCAAUCCAAGCUCGAAAUAAAAUUGUUAAGCCCGAGCCCUACCCGGCCUGGCCCAUAUUAAUUUUUUUUAGCUUAUUUCAUUAAAUAAAAAAUUUUUAAAAUAUAAUAAAUCAAAUACAUUUAAAACAAAUAAAAAAUGAUAUUAAAACAAUUCUUAAAACAAUACACAAAUUGAAAAUAUAAUAAAAAGUGAUUGUCGAAACCAUUUUUAUUUUGAAAAACGGGGAUCGACUUUUAAACAAGGUAUGGAGUCGCCACCAAUCCUUUUUGUUUAGGUGUGAUCAGGUCACCCUAUGGUCGAUCAUUUUAAUAAAACAUUUUUAGUUUAUUAAAACAACAUUUUUGGUCUACGAAAAAUUAGAAGACGAAUUUGGGAGUCGGUUACGCGCGAAGAAGGAUUAGCACCCUCGCAAUGCCCAAAAUUGGUACCGUAUUGAUCGAUUAACGUCCUAAUGUUGAAAAGUUUGAAAAGAUUUUAAAAUACAAUCUUUAAAAACGUUUGGAAAUCUUGAAUUGGAUAUUGAGAUUCUCUCGUUCAAAAAUACUAAAAUAUCAUAUCCAGCACGAUAGGACACAACAUUUCAAACCCUUAAUACAAGAUUAUCCCAUGCUUCCCAAAAUACAUGCACUUAAAACCUUUAAAAAAGAUAUUUGGCUAUUCGGCCCAAACGAUAAAUCGAAACCCAACACGAUUGGGCACGAUUUAUCGAAUUUCCAAAUACGAAACAUUGCCUCAUUUUAAUUUGAGAAAACAUGGAUGAAAUUUCAAAAGGAUAUUUUGUAUUUUAGUCGAAUGGAAAAUUGAAGCCCACACGAUUGGGCACGACUUCCCAAACUUCCAAACACGAAAUAUUGCCUCAUUUUAUUUUAAGAAAAUAUGGAUGAAAUUUCAAAAAAGGAUAUUUCAUAUUUUAGCCGAAUGGAAAAUUGAAGCCCAGCACGAUUGGGCACGACUUCCCAAACUUCCAAACACGAAAUAUUGCCUCGUUUUAUUUUAAGAACACGUGGAUGAAAUUUCAAAAAAAGGAUAUUCCAUAUCUUAGUCGAAUGAAAAAAAUGAAACCCAGCACGAUUGGGCACGAUCUCUCAAACUCCCCAAAUACGAAAUAUUGCCUCAUUUUAAUUUUAAAAAAAACAUGGACGAAAUUUCCAAAGGAUAUUCCGUAUUUUAGCUGAACGAAAAAUCGAAACCCAGCACGAUUGGGCACGACCCCUCGAACUCCCAAACACGAAAUAUUUCCUUAUGUCGAGAGGGAUCAAGUUUACAAUUACGAAAACCGAGUCAAGAAUAUGAUAAUCAUAAUCAUGAUGCAUUAGCAAGAAAUACAAGCAUAAUUACUUGCAUGAAACAAUAAUAGGUUGCCAUAAUAUGAAAAUCAGAAAUGACACAUAAUACGUAAAGCAAUAUGAAAAUUUGGAAUCGACAUAACGCAAAACGAUUUAAAACCUAUAUGAAAAUGUUUCUCAAAAGAAUAACACAUGCUAAAAUUUGAAAUACCUUAUAUGUACAUAAUAUUGAUAAUAUAUAAACAAUUAUUAAAUUAUAUAAUAUGCAAGAAACAAUUUGACAUAAAUAGCACAUAACAUAACUUCAAAUAAAAGCCAAUUAAUUUGUCUAACGAUAUAUAUACGCAAAUGAAGAAAUAAUAUAAAUAAGGUAUAUACAAAGAGAUUACUAUAUGAAAGUAAGAUAAUCAAAAUAUACAAUCAAAAAAAGGAUCCUUAAAAGAGAAUAUGCAUUAAUGAAUUUAAAAAGAGGGAAAAAAUAUAUAUAUAUAUAUAUAUAAUAAACCUAAGGGAAAAAUAUAUGUAACAUAUAUCGCAAAUAUAAAAGAAAAUAUUUACAAGAAAUAAUAUGAAAAUGAUAAUGUACAUAGGACAAAACAAAUUUUAACAUAGACUAUACAUAUACGAAUAACAUAAGGGUGAUUAAAUUAAAUAUUACACAUAACUUCAAAACAAUAUGACAUAAAGGAAUCUUUUUUAAAAUAAUAACUAUAUAAUUUAAAAAAAAAAAACUAUAGAUAUCAGUAAAAUACCAAGUUGAAAUGAGGUAAAAAUAAUUAGAAUAACCCAGAAUAAUUUUAAAAGAAACGAAUAUUAAGUAAAUUUUAAAAAUAAAAUAAAAUAAAAUAAAAUAUUAACCAUUGAAAUGGAAAAACGAACUUAAUUGAUAUAGAAUUGAACAAAAAUGGAUAGAAUAAAACAUCACAACAAAACUGGGGGCCACAUCGCAAUGCACGCAAAUACAUAGGGAUUGAAAAUGAAAAUGUUCCAACUCACAAAACGCACUGCACAAAACCGGACUGAAUUGAAACAUCGCAGAAUUUUUGGAGAAAUUGAAAAAGCAUAACAAGUCGAAUUGAAAAUGGCGCAAAAUAUAAAGAAUUGGAUGUGCAAAUUUCCCAUUUAAGGGGAAAAUGCGCAGAUCCAGCCUUGGACUGGAUCAACGCGCUAGCUACCCCCCAUAAUGACUCUACUUUUUAAAAGGAAAAAAAAAAUAAUUUAACUUCUAUUUUAUGUCUUCUUUUUUUAAAUCGUUAAAACCUUUUAGAAACCCUAAAUUUUAAAACAUCUUUCUCUUCAUUUUAUCUAAAAAAAGCCCCCAUAUCUCCUUCCCUUUUCAACCAGCGCCACCUUCAUCGGAGAUCCGGCGUGCCCAAGCCGCUGACGAGGAAAGCCCGACCCUGGUAAGUCUCUCUCUCUCUCUCUCUCUCUCUCGUGCUAUUAAAAGCGUUUGAAAAAUAAUGAAAAAAAAGGAAAAAAAGAAAGUAUAAAGGAAAUACAAAUCAAAAGGGAAAAAAAAUUCCAAAAAAAGAAUGGAAAAUAACCUUUCGAACCUUAGCUCCAAUUUUCGAUUUACUAUUGACUUUUGUAUAUUCUCUUCUAUCGUAUUCGUAAAAAAAAAAAUCCCUUUUACAUUUCAUUUGAUUUGGCUUUAUAGCCGAUAUUUACAACCUCUUUCGCUCUUUUGCAGGUUCGUGGUGGGUGUAGACUCUGUCGUGGAGGUGGAGUGGCGCACGUUGCGGAGGUGGUGCUGAGAGACGCGCGACGUGCGGCGCUUGGAGACUACCCUGGCUGCGGCGCUUAGGGUAGCUUAGGGUUUCUAAAACCCCUAAACUUUGGGUCUAUCGGGCCCUUGUAUUUUAGAUCCAUAAAUUAGGCCUGUUUUCAUUUCAUUUUUGUAUAUGUAUGGGCCCGGGCUAAAAAUUGGGUGUACAAUGAUUAUAUUAAAAUUGAAAAUAAAAUGUAAACAUGAUUAAAAAUAAAAAUAUAUAUAUUUAGUAUGUAAUUCGGGCCAGGUCGGGCCCGGGUCAAAAAAAUUUUGCCCAGGCUCGGCUCAUUUUCUAAACGGGCCUCAUUUUUUUGCCCAAAUCCAUAUUUUGGGCUUAUAUUUUUACCCGAUCCCUCCUAUUUUUCAAGCGGGCCUUCAGGACGGGUCAGGUAGCCCGACCCAUGCACAUCUCUACUUAGAGAUAAUUUAAGUCAUUUAUUGUUCAAAUAUAGAAAUUGAUUAUAAACAUUCAUUUAACGAAUCCUCGAAGUUCAAACCAUGCAUUAAGAUCGGGUUGGGACUAAACCGGAUCCUUAGGAAAACUUUUCGCAACUUUUAAAAUUUUUCUCACAUAUAAGGGCUACACACCCGCGAGGCGUGAUCGUGUGGCCCAUAUGGCCGUGUCUCUGGGGCAUGUAACUCUUUUGACUUACAUCUAUGAAGAAACUUGGGUCACACAGCCUUAGUACACGCCCGUAUUGUUAGGCUAUGUGGUUAUUUUUAAUUUUUAAAAUUAAGUACAGGUUUCACAUAGUCAUAUCAUACGGCCAUGUCUUCAGGCCAUGAGCCUCACACGACCAAGGCACACGCCUGUGUCUAUCCCAUGUGAACAUUGUUUAGGCUAUUUUCCAAGCCUUAUUUAUCUCCUAAUUGAUUUUUUACCUACACCAACACUUAAACACAUUAAAGAAUUAACUCAAGAUAUUUAACUAAGUCCAAAUCAAGUUUUAUGCUUAUCAUAUCUUCUUCUAUACUUGUAUAUGCAAGGUUACUUAUUUCAUCCACUUUAUUUAUUUAGGCUUUAUAUAUAUCAAUUUUAUUAUCUCAUUUUAAUUAUUCUAUAUGUUUAUCACUAUCUUAUUGCUCACACUCUCAUUCCAUUAGCAUGUUAAGACCAUAUAAAUGUAUGUUUCAAAUAUAUCAAAUACAAGCCAUAUUAGUGGCUAGAUACUUGCAUAUCAAGUUACAAUUUAGCAUUGGUUAAUAAACCUAUACAUGCCAUUAUAAAUCUAGUGAUUUAUCAAACACAUAUAUAUAAAUAUGUUGAAUAUACCUAUAGAGAUCGAUCUCCAUCAAUGCUUCUAAUCCAACGAGCUUCCGAAUAACGUUUGUAACAACUCGAAAUAGGGCCUAAACAGAAUAGUGGUUUUGAAACCACGAAUCUGAGGUCAAAAAAAUUUAUUCCGAUUAAAUUUUAAGGUUUAUUCACUGAUGGAAUAAUUGUGUGAAAAUUUCGUAAAGAAAUUUUAUGUAUAAGUGCCUAAUUUGAGAUUAGGACUAAAUUGUAAAAUUAGCAAAAUGUGUGUUCUAGAUAAUAAAGGGGAUUUAAUUGAAAUGGGUUCUUAAAGUGGAGGUCCUUAUUUAGAAUUAGACCAUUAUAUUUAAGUUUGGACAUAAAUGGGCAAGAAUAGGAUAAAUUUGAAAGAAAAGCCUUUAAGUGCAUUUUGGUCAUUUAGUAAUUAAAAGAAUUAAAAAUGUAAAAUAAAGCCAAAAUAUCUUCUUCAUGGAGGCCGAAUAUAGCAUGGGAGAAGCCAUGGUUAGGGUUUCCAAGCUUUUCAAGCUCAAUAGUAAGUCCGUUCUAGCCUCGUUUUUAAUGUUCUUUACGUUUUUGGAGUCCCGGUAACUUGAUUUAGCUUAUUCUAGCAAUAAUUCAUGCUAGGGUUCAUAUUUGGAAAAAUACCCAUAGGUUAAAUGUGUUUAUUUUUAUGUUUUAUGGUAGAAUAUGAAGCUUGAAAUUAUGUUAAACAAAUUUUGCUAAGCGAUUUUAAGUGAAAACGAGUAAAACGACAUAAUCGGUAAAAAUACAUAAUAUUCAUAAGUACAUGAUAGAGUGGGAAUUUGAUGUUGCCAUACAAGGGAAAAAUGUUCAGCGUGUCAUAAAAUAUAAUAAUUUUAAUAUUCCCGGUUUGGUCCCGAACCGUUUCAAUUGCAUGUUUUAGGGUCUCGAGGGCCCUUUUUAGGGACAUAUUGAAUGAAUGUAAAUAAAUUAAUUUUAAAAGCAAAUUUUAUGCCCCGAAUUAGUAAGUGAAGUCAGGUAACGCCUCGUGCUCGACUCCGACGACGGUCUCGUGUAACACCCCUUAACCCUAAACCAUCACCAGAUCAGGGUUACGGAGCAUUAUCGGACAUAUUGGACAACUUAGAAAUAAUUCAUAAAUAAAUAACAUUCAUAGCAUAGUUUAACUUUUAAGUCUUUAUAAUAGACCAUCGAGGCCCAAAAUACGUAUUAGGAGUGGAACAAUUUUUUUUUUUUCAAAAUUUCGGCAGCAUUUCUGCUUAUUUUGUAUAAAACCCCCUGCAAGUUCAAACCAAAAACAACCAAUACCAUAUAUACUAUAUAAACUUCUGUACCAUUUCAUUAGUAUAAACAUUAAAAAUACUAAUUACCAUUUUUUUUUACAACAAAAGUCCUGUAACGUUCUGAUGUGAUCAAAAUAACACCUUUGUACAUGCCACUUUUAAUUCAAAAUAUGGUACCUACUUAUGAAGCUCUUGAGGAAGUGAUGAGAUGAGAGAUCUUCUAGUCGACGCUACCUCUUCGAGUCUAACUGUACCUACGCGUUAAAAUUAAACGCGUUAAGCCGGUGAAGGCUUAGUAAGCACUACAAGAAUAAAUAGGCAAAUAAAUCCCAUUUAAAAUAUUAUAAUCCAUUUUGAUCAAUAUAUAUUUAUAUGCAUAUAAAUUUCUUUAGUUGUAUCUUAUAAUAACAAAAUUUAAUUUAUUAUUAAUAAGUUAUAAAACUUACCUUAGUACAUUGAUAAUUCGCUUUGAUUCACAACUUAUAACUUUAGCCCAAAGUAGACUUAAUAGAACACACUGGAUAUACGGAACAAAUACAGAAGUGCAUUAUUAUGCACAAACGAACAGAGAGCACUAAAGUGCUAUACAGAGAGCACAGAUGUGCUAAAUAGAGAGCACUUAACGUGCUAAUAAUAGUACAGAGAGCACUAUUGUGCUAAUAAUCAGAGAGCGCGCUAGAGUUCCUUAAUGGCAUGCCACUAAUAUCCAAGUAGUUCUAGAUUCAUCAACUUGGGCAUUAAAACUGAAUUUCAUACAUUUAAAUACUUUACAUAAAUAUCUCGAAAAAGAUUUUUCAUUUCUUCAUCAUUACAAUUUAGUACAUAUUACACAAUUCACAAAUAUCACAUCUUUUUCACACAUAUACUUUUGUCACAACAUUAUUACUUAAUGUUCAAACAAUAUAAUUUCUUAUAUUCUCCAAUUAUAAUUUUCUCUUCAAAUUUCAUAAUUCCAUAAUCUAUUAUUAUUAUUAUUUAUUUACUUAUAAAUUUAAAUAUAUACAUAUAUAUUACAUUUUUAUUUCUAAAUAAUUCUAUACUACAAUAUAAACAUCUAAAUAAAAUUAAUUUAAAAAAAAUCUUGUAGUACUUACAACAAAAAGAUUGAGAUGAAGUCUUCCUUCACUCCUUAGCCUUCCCUUUUCCUUUUUCUUCAAUUAGGUCCUCUCAUUUCUUUUCUUUCUCUUCAAUUUCAUAUAAAACAUAUAAUAUUUAUAUGUUAGAGAAAAUAAUUAAAUGACUUUCCUAUGCUAUUAAAAAAAAUAAACAUGUAUGAUAUAAUAAAUUUAUCAUUUCUUACAUUAACUUACAUUUCAAUUUAUUCCAUAACUAAAAUUAUUUCCAUUUCUAUUAUAAUCUAUGCUUUAUUUUUAUUUAAAUUCUACUUAUAACUUAGUUUAACUCCCAAAUUUUCACUAAUAAACCCCAAUUUCAAACUUCUUAUAAUUUACUCCUUAUUGCAAUCUAUUUCACAAUUCAAUCUCUCUUUUUUUUCUCAAUUCUAAUUUGAAUUUUUCAUAAGUUCAAUCUCUAAUUUAUCCAUAAAUUCAACAAUAACUAUAUAUAAAAAAAAAUCUAAUAACUCUCAAAAUUUCAACAUAUACCUAAUAGUAUUUUGUUCUAGGGUCAUAAAAACUCAAUAAUUACAAGAAAAUGAAUUAAAUUGACUUACCAAAUUGAAUUUGAACCCCUGAAAUCUCAAAUUUUCUUUUUUUCUUUUUUUCUUUCUCCCUUUUUCUCUAUUUCGUCCCUGCGAUUCUGUUUGUUUCUUUUUUUCUAUUCUGUUUCUUUACUUUUCUUAUGUUUUAUAUAUUAUAUUAUAUUAUAUUAUAUUAUAUAUAAUAAUAUAAUAUAUUAUAUAUUAAUACUUAAAUAUUAAGUUAAUAUAAUAUAUAAUAUAUAUUUUUAUAUAAAAAAUAUCUUAGAUUUUUUUUUCUUUCAACAUUAAACCGACUCAUUUAAUAAUAAGGGCAUAUUUACCUAUUUAGUCCUUUUUAUUUUCUUUAAUCUAUAAUUAAACUUUCACACUUAUUUCAAUCUAAUCCUUUUUCCUAAUUAAUUCUAAUUAAGUCAAAUUCACCUAAUCAAAACCUAAUUAGACACACAACUAACUUCGUAAAUAUUUGUAAUAAAUAUUUAUGAAUCCGAUUUAUCGGAACGGAGUCUCGAGAAUGCAUUUUUUUUUCGUUUUAACAAUUUAACUAUAUAAUCAAUAAAAUUUUCCUAUCAAAAUUUUCAUGCAGUAUUCCUAUCGUAAUAUAGACUAUGCCACAAUAUUAAAAUAAUUUUUCUUUCUAGAUCGGAUUUGUGGUCACGAAACCACUAUUCUGAUUUUUUUUACUGAAAAUGGGUCAUUACAACUCUUCCCCCCUUAAGGAUUUUCGUCCUCCAAAAUCUUACCAAUAAAGAGAUUUGGGUAUUGUUUCCUCAUUGCCUCCUCUGGUUCCCAGGUAGCCUCUUCAAUUCCGUGUCGUUGCCAAAGAACUUUCACCAGAUCUAUCUUUUUGUUUCUUAAUUCUUUUCUCUCCCGUGCCAAAAUUUUGACUGAUUCUUCACCAUAAGUCAUAUCAGGUUGAAUCUCAAUUUCUGUCGGAGAAAUAACAUGUGAAGGAUCUAACCAAUACCGCCGUAACAUAGACACAUGAAAAAUAUUAUGAAUUCUACCAAGUUCCAGAGGCAAAGCUAGCCGGUAUGCAACAGGUCCGAUUCGUUCAGUAACCUCAUAUGGCCCAAUAAAACGUGGACUCAAUUUACCUUUACGACCGAAUCGAAGGACCUUUUCCAAGGUGAUACUUUCAAGAAUACCUUGUCGCUGACCUGAAAUUCUAUCUCUUUCCUUUUAAGAUCGGCAUAUGACUUUUGUCGAUCAGAAGCUGCUUUCAAGCUAGCUCGGAUCACCUUUACUUUCUCUUCGGUUUCCCGAAUCAAAUCAACUCCAUGUAUCUUUUUCUCACUCAGUUCAGUCCAAUAUAAUGGUGUUUUACAUUUCCGACCAUACAAAGCUUCAUACGGUGCCAUUUUAAUACUAGACUGAUAACUAUUGUUGUAGGCAAACUCAAUCAAAGGCAAAUACCUUUCCCAACUACCUUCAAACUCUAGUACACAACAUCGAAGCAUGUCCUCUAAUACCUGAAUUACACGUUCGGAUUGGCCAUCUGUCUGAGGACGAAAUGCAGUACUGAAAUGCAACUGAGUCCCUAAUGCUUUUUGCAACUUGUCCCAAAAACGAGACGUGAACCGAGGAUCUCUAUCCGAAAUAAUAGAGACUGGUACCCCAUGUAAUUUGACAAUCUCAGAUACAUAUAAUUCAGCCAACUUAUCUAAAGAAAAAUCCAUACGUACCGGUAUAAAGUGUGAACCGGUCAACGAUUACCCAAAUAGCAUCUUUCUUUUUCGAAGACAAAGGUAAUCCCGACACAAAGUUCAUUGUGAUCCUUUCCCAUUUCCAUUCCGGUAUCGUAAUUGGCUGUAGUAAUCUCGAAGGUGUAACGUCCCCUAACCCUAUACCGUCACCGGAAUAGGGUUACGAGACAUUACCAGUCAGUACAGUCCAAUUUCGGUCAUUAAAUAAAAUAUAUUGUAAUGGCGUAAAUUCAAUGUUAUCGGAACAGUGGUUUCGUAACCACAAAUCCGAUUUAAAGAGAGAUUUAUUUUAAUAUUUUUGCUUGAAAAUUUAUAUGAUAGGAAAAUCGUAUGAAAAUAUUGAUAGGAAAAUUUUAUCAAUUUAGUGAUUAGUUAGAAAAAGAAAUUAUUGAAGAAAUUGGGUAAAAUAAGGUAUUGGGACCUCUAUCUCGUAAAACCGAGUCAAAAAUAAUUUUAUAAAUAUUUAUGAAAUGUUAUUAAUGUGGUAUUAAAAUUUCGUUAGGAAAUUUUAAUGUUUGGGUAGUCAAUUAAAUGAAAAAGACUGAAUUGUAAUAGGUGUAAAAGUUGCUAGAGUGAUUAAAUGGCUUAUUAGUCUAAUGAGAAAGGAUAUAAAAGGCAAUUAGACCCAAAAUUUAUUUGGGCUGGACGGCAAGGGUAUGAAAUCAGCAGAAAAAUUGAUAAAUUAAGGGUAAAAUUGGAAUAUUACAAAAUUAACUAAAUAAAACUAGGACUAAAUAGGAAAUAUCUAGAUUUCUCUUCAUUUUUCUUCAAUUCUAGCAGCUAAAAAUGCCAUAGGAGGGUUCUCUAAGCUGGUAUUUCAUAAUUUUUGCACCAAGUGAGUUAAUCCUUGCCUUUUUCUUGUAAUUUUUGUGUUUCUAAGACUUUUACAACUAGAUCCUACUAUUAAAUUCAUUACUUUUUGAUUUCAUGGAUGAAAUUUAAAGUCACCAUGGUUGAGUGCUGUAAGUUUAUGAUGCAAUAGAAUGAAAUUAAAGCUUUAAUUUGUUUAUGAGAUGAUUUUAUUAGGCAAUUUCAAUGGAAAUUGAUUUUUGGGACCUAAUUGUGAAAAUGUUUGGAAUUAAAGUCUAUUGCUGAAAUUAUGAUUCCUAAAGGUUGUAAACUAGUUUAAGGUGAUAGAAUAAAAUGUUAAUUGAGAAAAAUCAGCUCAAUUGAGAGGCUAAUUGAGUAGGGACGAAAUUAUUAUUUAUUAAAAGCUUAGGGGAAAAAUGGUAAUAAACAGCUUGCACUAAAACAGUUUGGACAGCAGCAGUAGACUAACUUUGAAAAAUCACCAAAAAUUGUAGGAAUCGAAUUAGAAUAUGAAAAAAUAUGGAAUUAAAGCUUAUUGAGUAUAGUUUCUCAUAGAAUAAAUAUUGUAAGCAAUGGAUUUGUAAAUUUUGAGAUAUAAUGAAUUUUGUGAGACAAGGUAAGAAUGAAUUCGGGUUCCCCUGUUCUGACUUUGAAAAAUUAUAAAAAAUUGAAUAAAAAUAAUUAGGGACUUAAAUUUAUAUUUCUAUAAUUCUGAAUGAGUCUAUUUUUAAUAGAAACAAACAAGAACAUCAUUUGAAUUUUGUAUAAAGAGAUAAUUUAUUUUUAGUGAAGAAGGGUCAGAACUGUUAGACAACAGAACAGGGGUGACUUUGAAGAAUAAACUGUACUGAUUGGCUAAACCAAAAAUCUUGAAAAUUUUAUGUUAAAAAUAUAUAUGAGUCUAGUUUCAGGGAAAAUUAACGUAUCUUAAUUUGGAGUUCCGUAGCUCAAGUUAUAAAUAAUUUAGUGACUAUGACUCAAGUAGACAGCUUUGAAUGAACUAUAAAUAAUAGUUGAAUUAUAGAGAAUGUUGCAUAUGAACAUGAAAUGUAUUAAAUUGAUAAUUAAAUUUAUUUAUUUAAAUCCAGAAGAUUCAAAUACGAAGCUAGAUCGAGGAAAGGAAAAAGUUCGGGAUUAAUAGAUUUUUACUGUUUACAAACAAGUAUCAAGGUAAGUUCGUGUAACUUGAAUUAUAUUCUUAAAUGCUUGAGAUUGUAUAUUAUUGAUGUGAAUAUGAUUUGAAUGUUCAUUGUAUGAAAAUUAAUGAAACAUUGAUAUAUUUGAUAAAAUGGGAAGAAAUCCUGGUUGAAUGAAAGGAAAAUUCGAUGGAUCUCUGAAAAGGAAUUGACGGUAAAAAGGAUCUAGCCCGGACGGGUGAUCCUAUCCUGAUAUAGCCCUCCCGAAGAAUAUGUGUAAAAUGGAUUUAGCCCGGACGGGUAAUCCGAAUUAGGGUCUGAAUUUAGCCUGGACUGGUAAUUCAGAUCCAAGCUCAGUAGAGUAAUUAUCGUUGCAGGGGAUUUAGCCUGGACUGGUAAUCCCGGCAAUACUCUAUGAGUUUAUAUUGCAGGGGAUUUAGCCUGGACUGGUAAUCCCGCUGCAAGGUUGAGGUUCGCGGGAGUGUGCUCUCUGAAAUGGAAAUGUGCGCACAUGAAUAUGAAUUGACGGACCCGGAAUUGUACACUAAAAGUGUACCUCUGAAAAUCCAUCGAAAUUUCGAUAAAUUCAACGGGAUAAAUAUGAAAAAUAAUAAGGGAAUGAAAAUCAUGGUAUUGAUGAGUACAUCAAUCAUGGUAUAUAUAUUAUUGAUACAUGGAAAUUAUUGUACUAACUUGAAUGUUGAGUUUGUGCAUGUUAGGGUAAUAAUGCAUUGAAUGGAUAUAUGAAUGUUUAUUAUAUUGUAUUGAAAAUUUAGGUAAGUAUAAUUCUUGUUACAUGAGCUUACUAAGCACAAAGUGCUUAUGUAACACCCCUAACCCGUCUCCGUCGCCGAAUCAGGGUUACGAGGCAUUACGAAAUCAAGCUCACAUAAACAUAACUUUAAUAUCUAAUUCCUAAUGCAAGUCCAAUUCAUGAACAUAUAUAAUCAAAUUCAAGCAUGGAAGUUAAACUCUUUUCGCAUUGCUAUUUACACAAUAGGAUUCAAAAUUAUCCAAAACAUUAUCAAGCCUAUACAUGCCAUAAGAUCGAGUUCAAAUAUUUAACAAAAUACCAAAAGAAGUCGAUAGUGUGAUGGGCGGUGCUGAUGAUCCCCGAGCUCGUAACACGUCUCCAAAAGAAAAUCUAUAAAAACGAAUGAACGAAAGCAAACAAAGUAAGCUUUUAUAGCUUAGUAAGUCUACAGCAUAUCUAUAAUACAUAUAAAAGAAUCAUAUAAUUCUUUAAGUAAAUUUAUUGAAAUUACAAUCAUCAAAUAUGAUUACUAAUCAAACACUACUUUAUUGAGUCAUUUUGUUUAAGUCUAAAAGGAUGUAUAUUUAUCUAAUACACAUAAACGGACAAAUGUAUAUACAUUAUAUGCAUAUAAUCAAGUUACUAGCAUAAUCCUUAACAGCAUAUACUGAUUUCUAGAGUACUUAUUGUUCGCACUUCAUCGAAUCCAUUUAAAUACAACUAUUCAACUACAUAUAUCAAAAGCCAAAUUUUUAUGCUUAUCAUCCAUAAAUGCCGAAUGCACAUAUGCACCUAUACCCAUCUAUGCCGAAUGCAUAGAUACAUACACUUAUUUUCACCUAUGCCGAAUGCAUUCACAUAAAUAUAUUCACCUAUGCCGAAUGCAACAUAUAUAUAUAUAUAUAUACAUAUCUAUCAAUUGCUUAGACCAAAUAUAUGUAUAUAUAUAUGCUCAUCAAGUUAAUAUGACUAAAAUCAUGUGAUUGAACAUUUAUGUAUACAUCGAUUUCAUAUAAUCAAAAUCAUAGAGGUAUCAAUUGUAUAUUAUCACAUGCUUUAAACGGAUUCACCGGCAUUUAGCCUGCUAGGUUUUAAAACCUGAUUCAAUACACCGGCUCUUAGCCUGCUAGACUUAUAGUCCGAAAUGUGUCACCGGCAUUAAGCCUGCUAGACUUAUAGUCUAAAAUGUGUCACCGGCAUUAAGCCUGCUAGGCUUAUAGCCUGAAAUGUGUCACCGGCAUUAAGCCUGCUAGACUUAUAGUCUGAAUAAUUUCACCGGCGUUAAGCCUGCUAGACGUAAAGUCUGAAUUAUUUCACUAACGAUAAACCGAAUGAUACUGAGCUUUAACAAAAGAAUCUCAAUUCAUAGGAGUUGUAUAUCAUAAUGGUAUAUAGAAUUCACAUAAAAAUUCAGCUCAAUAAUUUAUAAACUAUAUCCUUAACCCACAUCGGUAUAAAAAGUUCAGUCAUCAAAUUCAACUCAAUAUCUAAAUUAUACAUCCGAAUAUAUAUAUAUAUAUAACUUAACACAUUGAAGCAUACUAUUAAUAUCGUACUUUCGAACACAUUAAGAUAAUCCAAGCUAAUAAUUUCAUCUCUUCAACCCCGUUCAAGAACCUUUACAAGAACAUACAUACCUAAUCGAAUCUCCCUUUUUCAUAUAUAAGUUUCAUACUUAAAUUUAUCACAAGAACAUAUACAUGCAUAGUUGCAUAGUCGAACCCCUUAUAAACUUGUAUAAAUGGCAUACCUAAGUUCAAUACGAGAACAUAUAGAUGUAGAUUUGCAUAAUAUAUAUAAUUCACUCAUACUUUUAAUUGUUUCAACUAUCAUAUUUUUAAUUAUAAUUCAUCCAAAAACAGCUCAUAUACUUAUUUAUAUACUGAUUUUAUGACAUUAAAUAGCUAAUAGACUUACCUCGGAUAUCAGCAAACACGAUCGACUAUUCGAUUAUCUUCGACUUCCCCCGAUCCAAAUUCGUUUUCUUCGUUCCUUGAUCUAAACAUAGUCAAAUUUAACCUUUUUAUUCAUCAAAACAUUCAUUUGAGUCCAACAAUACAUAAAUGGGAAAAUUACCAUUUUGCCCCUAACAUUUUGCACUUUUUGCAAUUUAGUCCUUUUUGCACAAAACACAAAAUACACAAAAUUUUCCCAUAACACACAAGGGCCGAAUAUUCAUGGUUCUCAUACAAGUCCACACAUUGCAUUUAUUUCACAUUUUAGUCCCUCAAAAAUUUAUUUUCACAAUUUAGCCCUAAAUACUCAAAUUCAUCAAAAAUACCAAUACAAAACAUGUUAAUCUAAGACAUAUCUUCCAUUAUUCAUCAUCAAACAUCCCAAAACACAAAUAUUCAUCAAUGGCAUAAUUCAAAAUAUUCAUCAAUUCACAAAAUUAAGACAUGGGUUUUGAAGUAUUCAAAGCAACGAUCUCAAAAACGUAAAAAUCAUCAAAAACCGAACAAAAACUAACCUUGAAUUAAGCUUCAAAAGAUGGCCGAACCUAGCUUAGGUUUCUUUCUUUUUAUUUUCUCUAGUUUCGGUCAAAAUAAGAUGAAAAAUGUGGCUUUUAAUUUGUUUGUCUUUUAAUAUAUUAACAUUAUAAUAUAAUAUAUUAUUAUAACCUUUAUACAUAAUAUAAAAACUAUAAUUUAUAAGCAUAAUGCGAUCCACUAUCUUGAAUAAUGGCCUAAUUUCCUAUUAAGGACUUCACAUUAUAAAGACAUUAGCAAGUUAGCACUUUACACAUUAAUUAGUCAAUUUCACAUUUUAUGCGAUUAAGUCCUUUUAUUAAAUUAAGCACACAAACAAUAAAAUUAAUUCACGAAAUUUUCACACAUGUAAAUUAACAUAUAAUAAACACAUGAAAUAAUAUUAAAAUAUUUUUUAACUCGGACUUGUGGUCCCGAAACCACUAUGUCCAAUUAGAGUCAAAAUCGGGCUGUUACAGCUUACCCCGUUUCCUUUUUCCCUGUUUGUAGUGUUAAGAGCUCGGAGGUCGGAUUUGGUCAGAGACACAUCACACUGUCAACCUCAGGAUUUCGGUAUAUAAAGAAACUUUAUUUUGGAAAUCAAUGGCAUGUAUAAGCUAACAAAGUAAAUGUUAACGUGAAAUGAAUGUAAAGUUAGCCAUUAGUAUGGUUAACAAACCUGAUUAUAGAUAUGUGAUGACGUUAUCUUAUAUAAAUGCAUGAAUCUAUCAUGAAAAUAUGUUGAAUUGAAAAAAAAAAUUAAUUCGUAAACUCCGGUAAUGCCUCGUACCCUAUUCCGGCAAUGAAUACGGGUAGGGGUAUUACAUUUAUUGGUAUCAGAGCUACGGUUUAGCCGGUUCUAGGAUCGACGUUGCAAAUACGGGAUUAGCUAUACAUGCCAUUUAAAUUAUUAUUGAUAGUGUGAUAUCUCCUGACCAUUUAAAAUGUGUUUUUCUUAUAGUAAUGUCUUCCGACCGAGCUCAAUCUGAGGAAGCUGUGAGUCAUGCUCCGGCUUCAGUACAAAGAGAAGAAACUAGCAGUAGAAGGCCCGAGACAGAGGGUCGAGGGGAGGAGGCAAAAACAGCCUUCUUUCAAAUGAUGAAUGAAUGGUUUAAUCAAUACUUAAGAACUAACCCUGUAGUGCAGCAAGUUCAAGCUCCCCCUCCUGCUCCUUCACCGGUUCCCGAGAUCCCACAAGGUACAGGUACUGAAUCUGUCAGAAAAGGGAAAGCUCCGGUAGAUAAAAUUCGAAAAUAUGGGGCCGAAGAAUUUCGAGCAGCAGUUGAUGAUGAUUCCGAACGAGCUGAAUUCUGGUUAGAAAAUACUACUCGGGUUCUGGAAGAAUUAUCUUGUACACCAGAAGAAUGUCUGAAAUGUGCCGUCUCACUGCUAAAAGAUACAGCUUACCAUUGGUGGAAUACUAAAGCUUCAGUUGUUCCGAAAGAAGAAAUUACAUGGGAAUUCUUUCAGACCGAGUUCAGAAAAAAAUAUAUCAGCCAGAGGUUCCUCGACCAGAAAAGAAAAGAAUUUCUUGAGCUAAAACAGGGCAAUAGAUCAGUAUCUGAAUAUGAAAGAGAAUUUGUUCGAUUGAGUAAAUAUGCUCGAGAAUGGGUACAGUCAAAAGUUGAAAUGUGCAAACGAUUCGAAGAAGGGUUGAAUGAAGACAUUAAGUUACUGAUUGGAAUUCUUGAAAUUCGAGAGUUUGCUACAUUGGCAGAGAGAGCUUAUAAAGCAGAAGAAUUGAGCAAAGAAAAGAAACAGGCUGAGAGGGAAGCUCGAAUUUUUAGUAAAAGACCGAUGGGAAAAUCCCAGUUUUCUGCUUCAAAGAAAUUGAAGAAAUAUCAGGAUCGUUCUACUUCAGCCAUUGGGUAUUCGGGUAAAGAACGAGGUUCUCAACACACUAAUCCAAUGCCUUCUACUCCAUCAGUGACCAGUGUUGGCAGUGUUGGCACUCCUAAAUCGAGAUGCCAGUACUGUAAUAAAGCUCAUUUUGGUGAAUGCCGAUUUAAGAGUGGGGCUUGUUACCGAUGUGGUUCUUUUGACCAUUUCCUAGAGAUUGUCCAGAAAGGGUUGAAAAAGAAGUUGAACAUGUAUCGAAGCUGAGUAAUCUAGUUUCGAGGGGCAGACCACCUCGACCAUUCGGUAAUGUCAGUGGUAGUCGAGGAGCUAUAAAAGAUACUAUAGGUAGGCCUGAGGUACGAGCACCUGCUAGGACAUAUGCCAUUCGUGCCAGAGAAGAUGCUUCAGCACCCGAUGUUAUUACUGGUACAUUUCUUUACUUGAUACUGAUAUUACUACAUUGAUUGAUCCUGGUUCUACGCAUUCAUAUAUAUGUGUUAAACUUGCAAUUGUUAAAAAUUUAUCUGUUGAACCUACUGAAUUUGUGGUUAAAGUCUCGAACCCCCUGGGCCAGUCUGUGUUAGUGGAUAAAAUUUGUAAAAAUUGUCCACUGAUGGUAAGAGGUUAUUGUUUCCCGGCUGAUUUGAUGUUACUGCCAUUUGUUGAAUUUGACGUGAUAUUGGGUAUGGAUUGGUUAACCCAGCAUGAUGCGGUAGUAAAUUGUAAACAAAAAUAUAUUGUGUUAAAAUGUCAGAAUGGUGAGUUGCUCCGGGUUAAAUCUGAUCAGACAAAGGGGUUAUCUGAUAUGAUUUCAGUAAUUGCAGCACAGAGGUAUGUCAAAAAGGGGUAUGAUGCUUACUUGGCUUAUGUACUCGACACCAAGGUAUCUGAGUCAAAGAUACAGGCAGUUCUAGUGGUAUGUGAAUUUUCUGAUGUGUUUCCAGAAGAAUUACCAGGAUUGCCACCAGAAAGAGAAGUAAAAUUUUCUAUAGAUUUGAUUCCGGGAACUACUCCGAUCUCCAUAGCUCCGUACCGGAUGGCUCCUAUAGAAUUAAAAGAGUUAAAGACACAAUUGCAAGAGCUUGUUGACAGGGGUUUUGUUCGACCGAGUCAUUCACCUUGGGGUGCUCCGGUUCUGUUUUUGAAAAAGAAAGAUGAGUCUUUGAGAUUGUGUAUCGACUACCGGCAGCUUAAUAAAGUAACCAUAAAGAAUAAGUACCCGUUACCCCGGAUUGAUGAUUUAUUUGAUCAGCUGAAAGGUGCUACUAUGUUUUCAAAGAUUGAUCUUCGAUCAGGUUAUUAUCAGUUACGGGUAAAGGAGUCAGAUGUGCCAAAAACAGCCUUUAGAACCAGGUACGGGCAUUAUGAGUUUCUAGUUAUGCCGUUUGGGCUAUCUAAUGCACCUGCAGUAUUCAUGGAUUUGAUUAACCGGAUAUUUAGACCGUACUUAGACAGAUUUGUAGUAGUAUUCAUUGAUGAUAUUUUGGUUUACUCUCGGGAUGAAGAAGAACAUGCAGAACAUUUGAGAAUUGUGUUGCAAAUUCUACGAGAGAAGCAGUUGUAUGCUAAAUUCAGUAAAUGUGAAUUUUGGCUUCGAGAAGUGAGUUUUCUUGGACACAUUGUAUCUGCCGAAGGCAUCAGGGUAGAUCCAAGUAAAAUCUCAGCUAUUGUCAAUUGGAGUCCACCGAAGAAUGUAUCUGAAGUUAGAAGUUUCCUAGGUUUAGCUGGUUAUUAUCGGAGAUUUGUAUAAGGAUUCUCUAUGAUAGCUUCUCCAAUGACUCGAUUAUUGCAGAAAGAUGUAAAGUUCGAGUGGACUGAUGAAUGUCAAGAAAGUUUCAACCGAUUGAAAGACCUAUUAACGAAAGCACCUGUAUUAGUGCAGCCUGAACCGGGUAAGGAAUUUGUUAUUUACAGUGAUGCCUCAUUAAAUGGUUUAGGUUGUGUUUUGAUGCAAGAAGGUAAAGUAAUAGCCUAUGCUUCAAGACAACUUAAACCACAUGAAAGAAAUUACCCAGUACAUGAUCUUGAAUUAGCUCUUAUUGUAUUUGCGCUGAAGAUAUGGCGGCAUUACUUGUACGGUGAGAAAUGUCAUAUUUAUACUAAUCAUAAAAGCUUGAAAUAUUUGAUGACACAGAAAGAUUUGAAUUUGAGACAGCGCAGGUGGCUUGAACUGAUAAAGGGCUAUGAUUUGAUUAUUGAUUACCAUCCGGGUAAGGCUAAUGUUGUAGCUGAUGCUUUGAGUCAGAAAUCUCUGUUUGCUUUACAAGCUAUGAAUACUCGGUUAUCAUUGACUGAUGAUGGUUCAAUCCUAGCUGAAUUGAGAGCUAAACUGACAUUUUUACAGCAAAUAAUUGAAGCUCAGAAGAAUGAUGAGAAGUUAAAGGUUAAACGGGCACAAUGUGAGUCAGGUAAUGAUUCUGAAUUUCAGAUUGGUUCUGAUGAUUGUUUAUUAUUCAGAGGUAGGGUAUGUGUACCUCAGAAUUCAGAGCUCAUACAGAAGAUUCUACGCGAGGCCCACAGUAGUACUAUGUCUGUACAUCCGGGGAGUAAUAAAAUGUAUAAUGAUCUGAAAAAGAUGUACUGGUGGUCGGGAAUGAAACGUGAUAUCUCUGAUUUUGUAUCAAGGUGUUUAAUAUGUCAACAAGUUAAAGCUGAACAUCAGGUACCUUCGGGGUUACUUCAGCCAAUUACUAUACCGGAAUGGAAAUGGGAAAGAAUCACUAUGGAUUUUGUAUCGGGGCUACCUUUGUCUCCGAGGAAAAAAGAUGUUAUUUGGGUGAUUGUUGACCGAUUGACAAAGUCAGCUCACUUUAUUCCAGUACGUAUGGAUUAUUCUUUAGAUAAACUAACUGAACUGUACAUAUCUGAGAUUGUCAGGUUACAUGGAGUACCUGUCUCCAUUAUAUCAGAUAGAGAUCCCCGAUUUACGUCUCGUUUCUGGGACAAAUUGCAAGAAGCCUUGGGUACUCAGUUGUAUUUCAGCACUGCAUUUCAUCCUCAGACAGAUGGUCAAUCUGAGCGUGUAAUUCAAGUAUUGGAAGAUAUGCUCCGAUGUUGUAUACUAGAGUUUGAAGGUAAUUGGGAGAGGUAUCUACCUUUGAUUGAAUUUGCUUACAAUAACAGUUAUCAGUCUAGUAUUAAAAUGGCUCCGUAUGAAGCUUUGUAUGGUAGAAAAUGUAGAACACCGUUAUAUUGGACAGAGCUCAGUGAAAGGAAGAUACAUGGGGUUGAUUUGAUCCGGGAAACAGAAGAAAAAGUAAAGGUUAUUCGAGAUAGUCUAAAAGCAGCUUUCGAUCGUCAAAAAUCAUAUGCCGACCUUAAGCAAAAAGAGAUUAAAUUUCAAGUCGGUGACAAGGUAUUUCUGAAAGUGUCUCCUUGGAAGAAAGUUCUUCGAUUCGGUCGAAAGGGUAAACUGAGUCCAAGAUUUAUCGGGCCCUAUGAAAUCAUAGAAAGAAUUGGACCGGUCGCUUAUCAAUUGGCAUUACCACCGGAACUUGAUAGAAUCCAUAAUGUUUUUCAUGUAUCUAUGUUACGACGAUAUCGAUCAGAUCCUUCACAUGUUAUUUCUCCGACAGAAGUAAAGAUUCAACCGGAUAUGACUUACAGUGAAGAAUCGGUCAAGAUAUUGGCACGGGAGACAAAAGAGCUUAGAAAUAAAAAGAUAAAUUUGGUGAAAGUAUUAUGGCAAAAGCACGGGAUUGUGGAAGCAACAUGGGAACCGGAAAAGGCAAUGAGGAAACAAUACCCAAACCUCUUUACUGGUAAGAUUUUCGAGGACGAAAAUCCUUAAAAUGGGGGGAGAGUUGUAAUGGCGUAAAUUCAAUGUUAUCGGAAAAGUGGUUUCGUAACCACAAAUUCGAUUUAAAGAGAUAUUUAUUUUAAUAUUUUUUCUUUAAAAUUUAUAUGAUAGGAAAAUCGUAUGAAAAUAUUGAUAGGAAAAUUUUAUCAAUUUAGUGAUUAGUUAGAAAAAGAAAUUAUUGAAGAAAUUGGGUAAAAUAAGGUAUCGGGACCUCUAUCUCGUAAAACCGAGUCAAAAAUAAUUUUAUAAAUAUUUAUGAAAUGUUAUUAAUGUGGUAUUAAAAUUUCGUUAGGAAAUUUUAAUGUUUGGGUAGUCAAUUAAAUGAAAAGGACUGAAUUGUAAUAGGUGUAAAAGUUGCUAGAGUGAUUAAAUAGCUUAUUAGUCUAAUGAGAAAGGAUAUAAAAGGCAAUUAGACCCAAAAGUCAUUUGGGCUGGACGACAAGGGUAUGAAAUCGGCAGAAAAAUUGAUAAAUUAAGGGUAAAAUUGGAAUAUUGCAAAAUUAACUAAAUAAAACUAGGAGUAAAUAGGAAAUAUCUAGAUUUCUCUUCAUUUCUCUUCAAUUUCAGCAGCUAAAAACGCCAUAUGAGGGUUCUAUAAGCUGGUAUUUCAUAAUUUUUGCACCAAGUGAGUUAAUCCUUGCCUUUUUCUUGUAAUUUUUGUGUUUCUAAGACUUUUACAACUAGAUCCUACUAUUAAAUUCAUUAGUUUUUGAUUUCAUGGAUGAAAUUUAAACUCACCAUGGAUGAGUGCUGUAAGUUUAUGAUGCAAUAGAAUGAAAUUAAAGCUUUAAUUUGUUUAUGAGAUGAUUUUAUUAGGCAAUUUCAAUGGAAAUUGAUUUUUGGGACCUAAUUGUGAAAAUGUUUGGAAUUAAAGUCUAUUGCUGAAAUUAUGAUUCCUAAAGGUUGUAAACUAGUUUAAGGUGAUAUAAUAAAAUGUUAAUUGAGAAAAAUCAGCUCAAUUGAGAGGCUAAUUGAGUAGGGACUAAAUUAUCAUUUAUUAAAAGCUUAGGGGAAAAAUGGUAAUAAACAGCUUGCACUAAAACAGUUUGGACAGCAGCAGUAGACUAAUUUUGAAAAAUCACCAAAAAUUUUAGGAAUCGAAUUAGAAGAUGAACAAAAUAUUGAAUUAAAGCUUAUUGAGUCUAGUUUCUCAUAGAAGAAAUAUUGUAAGCAAUGGAUUUGUAAAUUUUGAGAUAUAAUGAAUUUUGUUAGACAAGGUAAGAAUGAAUUCGGGUUCCCCUGUUCUGACUUUGAAAAAUUAUAAAAAAUUGAAUAAAAAUAAUUAGGGACUUAAAUUUAUAUUUCUAUAAUUCUGAAUGAGUCUAUUUUUAAUAGAAACAAACAAGAACAUCAUUUGAAUUCUGUAUAAAGAGAUAAUUUAUUUUUAGUGAAGAAGGGUCAGAACUGUUAGACAACAGAACAGGAGUGACUUUGAAGAAUAAACUGUACUGAUUGGCUAAACCAAAAAUCCUGAAAAUUUUAUGGUAAAAAAUAUAUAUGAGUCUAGUUUCAGGGAAAAUUAACGGAUCUUAAUUUGGAGUUCCGUAGCUCAAUUUAUAAAUAAUUUAGUGACUAUGAGUCAAGUAGACAGCUUUGAAUGAACUAUAAAUAAUAGUUGAAUUAUAGAGAAUGUUGCAUAUGAAUAUGAAAUGUAUUAAAUUGAUAAUUAAAUUUAUUUAUUUAAAUCCAGAAGAUUCAAAUACGAAGCUAGAUUGAGGAAAGGAAAAAGUUCGGGAUUAAUAGAUUUUUACUGUUUACAAACAAGUAUCAAGGUAAGUUCGUGUAACUUGAAUUAUAUUCUUAAAUGCUUGAGAUUGUAUGUUAUUGAUGUGAAUAUGAUUUGAAUGUUCAUUGUAUGAAAAUUAAUGAAACAUUGAUAUAUUUGAUAAAAUGGGAAGAAAUCCCGGUUGAAUGAAAGGAAAAUUCGAUGGAUCUCUGAAAAGGAAUUGACGGUAAAAAGGAUCUAGCCCGGACGGGUGAUCCUAUCCUGAUAUAGCCCUCCCGAAGAAUAUGUGUAAAAUGGAUUUAGCCCGGACGGGUAAUCCGAAUUAGGGUCUGAAUUUAGCCUGGACUGGUAAUUUAGAUCCAAGCUCAUUAGAGUAAUUGUCGUUGCAGGGGAUUUAGCCUGGACUGGUAAUCCCGACAAUACUCUAUGAGUUUAUAUUGCAGGGGAUUUAGCCUGGAUUGGUAAUCCCGCUGCAAGGUUGAGGUCCGCGGGAGUGUGCUCUCUGAAAUGGAAAUGUGCGCACAUGAAUAUGAAUUGACGGACCCGAAAUUGUACACUAAAAGUGUACCUCUGAAAAUCCAUCGAAAUUUCGAUAAAUUCAACGGGAUAAAUAUGAAAAAUAAUAAGGGAAUGAAAAUCAUGGUAUUGAUGAGUACAUCAAUCAUGGUAUAUAUAUAUUAUUGAUACAUAGAAAUUAUUGUACUAACUUGAAUGUUGAGUUUUUGCAUGUUAGGGUAAUAAUGCAUUGAAUGGAUAUAUGAAUGUUUAUUAUAUUGUAUUGAAAAUUUAGGUAAGUAUAAUUCUUGUUACAUGAGCUUACUAAGCACAAAGUGCUUACCCCAUUUCCUUUUUCCCUGUUUGUAGUGUUAAGAGCUCGAAAGUCGGAUUUUGGUCGGAGACACAUCACACUGUCAACCUCAGGAUUUCGGUAUAUAAAGAAACUUUAUUUUGGAAAUCAAUGGCAUGUAUAAGCUAACAAAGUAAAUGUUAACGUGAAAUGAAUGUAAAGUUAGCCAUUAGUAUGGUUAACAAACCUGGUUAUAGAUAUGUGAUGACGUUAUCUUAUAUAAAUGCAUGAAUCUAUUAUGAAAAUAUGUUGAAUUGAAAAAAAAAUUAAUUCGUAAACUCCGGUAAUGCCUCGUACCCUAUUCCGGCAAUGAAUACGGGUAGGGGUAUUACAUAAAUAUUCACACACAUCCUAGUUUUAAGAUGUCGUCCCUUUAAUGGGCCCUCGCGGUCCAAUAUAAACAGUAAAUUUCAAAAUUCAUACUACAUACGGUUGCCAACCAUAAUUUACUCAUUUCAUCAAUACUUCUACAACCUAAAUGACUCUCCUUAAACAUCCUGGGUACAUGCCACUAUCAAUACUCAACAUACUUUGCCUUAAUGAAUUCGGGAUCGUCCUGGGAUGCUGAUUCAACGUACUAUCUUUACUUAACCUGCGCACGGAAACAAACCGUACGCUGAGUCUGGUAUACUCAGUGGUAUUUCUAAAAUCCGAACAUUUAAUAAUAUAACAAAUACUUAACAUCAUAAUGACAAUUACAAUUAUGCAAUUAUUUAUUCAUAGAUAAAUUUCAACUACUUACCAUAUAAAUUUCAUACAAAUCAUAUAAAUAAACACAAUAACAUAAUUGUUCAAUUCUUAACUAAAUCCAUUAUAAUUUACUCCAUUCUUUCACUUACUAUUCGGUAUAGCUUUCCUUAAUUUAUUCACAAUUCAAUAUCAUUAAACUAUAUUCAACUAUACACUUAUCAAUCAUAUUCCAUUUUAAUUCAUUUCAAUAACGGUCAAUUUCAUUUAUAUCAUAUCAACUUAUUAUCCCUGAUAGCUUUCAGUAUAUACAUACGAUUCAUAUAUCUCAAAUCACAUUUCAAUUCAUCAAGUGGCAUCAUAUAUCAUCAAUUCGAACUCCAAUCAUUUCAUGAACCUUUGGUUCAUAUUUUCAAUUCCAUAUCUAAAUUUUCAAUUCUCAAUUCAAUUUCUCGUUUCAUUUCAAUAGCUUGAUCAAUCAAAUUUAUUCGAUUUAUCUUUCACUUAUUUACCCCUAUUAACAAACCCGGACUUUGACGGAUACACGGAUUCCAACCCAAACACACCAGUACGGCACAUUGUGCCUAAAACGGUACAAAGUACCUGAUCAGUAUACGACACAUAAAGUGCCUAAAACGACACACGAGGUGCUUGAUACGACACACUAGGUGCCUGAAAUACGACACAUAAAGUGCCUGAUCGAUAAAGUCGGCAAAUCCCGUACACUUCCAGAUCCUAUGGCAUGCCAACUAUAUCCGACCCAGCCCGACUAGUUAAUAGGGUAUUUCAUUCACUUUCUCAAUUUAAUAAUUCUUUCAUCAAUAUCUCAUUCCGAUAAUUACACAUAUUUACCCAUUUUCACAAUUAAUACAAUUUCAUUCAGUUUAACAAAUAUAUUUCAAUUAUGCACAUUAAUUCAUAAUUCAAUACAAUUCAAUUCAAUUUUCAAUACCAAAUAUUCAAUUAUCACAAUCUCAUAUAUUCAUAUCAAUUUCCUCAUAUUUCCAAUCAAUAUAUUUUUCAAUAUAACAUUCAUUUAAUAUUAAAAUUUCUACAUAAGUCAUAUAUAUUAUAUAAUUCAAUCAAUAUAAUUUCAAUCAAAAUAAUUUCAAUCAAUAUAAAUUCAAUAAAUUCAUCGCAUACUAAAAUCAAUCUAUUUCAAUUGUAAAACAUCAUAAUUCAAUCACUAACAAUUUCCAUAUGUAUAUAAAUAUAAUAAAUAAUGACUAAGUUCGGAUUAUAGAAAUACAAACCGUAAUUUUCGAGCUAACUCCCGUUGACUUUGUCUUGUCCUUUCUUAGCCGAGAUUUCUGGUACCACAUUGACUACGAAAUUAAUACAAUUCAUAAUCAUUAAUACAUUACUAAUUCAUAUAUUGAGUUACAGAAUUCUAAAUUAAGAUCCGCUAUUUUUUCCUGAAACUAGACUCACAAAUCUUCCUACAAUAAAAUUUUCAGAAUUUUUGGUUUAGCCAUUAAGUACAGUUUAUUCUUUAAAUUCACCCCUAUUCUGUUUUCUGAUAGUUUCGUCCCUUCUUCACUAAAAAUUAAUUAUCUCACAGUACAGAACUCAGAUAACAUUCUCGUUGAUUUCUCAUGAAAAUAGACUGAUUAGGGAUUCUAAACAUAUAACUUUAAGCCUCUAAUUUUUUUUCUUCAAUUUUUGGUGAUUUUCCAAACUUAGACUACUGCUGCUGUCCAAAAUAGUCUUAGUAAAAAAUGUCGAUUUACUUUAAUUUCAAUUUAAUUCUAACUAAAUUCACUUACUUUUCUAUCUUAAUUCAUACUUUAUUUCUACUCAAUUUUUAACCAAACUUAGACAUAAUUAUCUAUUUUUCAUCAUAAAACCAUAAUUUCGAAAUUCUUUCAAUUUAGUCCUUAAAGCAUAAAACUUAUGAAUCACUUUACAAUUCAAUCAUUGUAUCAUUUUUAACUUGAAUUUCUAUCAAUUUAGCCCUUAAUUCAUCAUUUUAUUUAACAUGGACAAUAUCUAAAAAUCUAAUAACUAUCAAAAUAUCAACUUAAUUUCAUCAAAACUUUGUUCUAAAACUUCUAAAACAUCAAAAUUAAGUAAAAAGGGCUAAAUUAACUUACCAAUUAAACUUUAAAGCUUCAAAACAUUAAUUUUCCCUUUUCUCCCUUUCUUUCUUUCUUUCCUUUCUUUCUCCCCUGUUCUUCUCUGUUUCAUUUGCUUUCAUUCUGUUUCUUAUGUUUCUUUACUUAUUUAUAUAAUAUAAUAUAUAAUAUAAUAUACUAUAAUAUAAUAAUAAUAUCAUAUAAUAACAAUUUCUUAUAUUUUAAGUAAUUAUUUAGUUGUAUUACAAGUGUAUGUAUUUAAUUUCUUACACAUGUAUUUAUAAUUACCAUACAAUUGUUAAAAUAAUAUUAUAAUAUCAUUAAUAUAAAUUACAAUAUAAUAAAAUAAUAAUAUAGUCUUAUUAAAUAAUACAUUCAUGAAAAAAAAUCUAAGAUUUUUAUCCACAUUUGCCGCCUCAUUUAUGGGACUUGGUAUAUUUACCAAUUUGGUCCCUUUAACUUUUCUUUAAUUUAUAGUUAAACUUUCACACUUCAUUCAAUUUAAUCCUUUCCACUAAUUACUCUUAAUUAAGGUAAUUUUACUUAAUUAAAGUCUAAUUAACCACUCAAUUGACUUCGUAAAUAUUUUUAAUAAAUAUUUACGAAUCCAUUUUUCAGAAACGGAGACCCGAAAAUACACUUUUUCAGUAAUGGUAAAAUUCGGGUCGUUACAGAAGGUACCUGAUGUUCAGCUUUAACCUGUUGACAUAUCAAACAUCUCGAUACAAACUCAGAAAUAUCACGUUUCAUCCCCGGCCACCAAUACAUCUUUUUUAGAUCAUUAUACAUUUUAUUACUCCCGUAUAGACAUAAUACCACUGUGAGCUUCGUGCAAAAUCUUUUGUGUAAGCUCUGAAUUCUUUGGUACACAUACCCUGCCUCUCAAUAGUAAACAACCAUCAGAUCUGAUCUAAAAUUCCGAAUCAGUACCCGAUUCACACUGCACCCGUUUAGCUUGUAAUUCAUUAUCACUUUUUUGAGCUUCACAAAUUUCCUGUAGAAACAUUGGUUUAGCUUUCAGUUCAGCUAUAAGUGUACCAUCAUCAGACAAUGACAACUGAGUAUUCAUAGCUCGUAAAGCAAAUAGAGAUUUUCGGCUCAAAGCAUCAGCAACUAUAUUAGCUUUACUCGGAUGAUAGUCAAUAACUAAAUCAUAAUCCUUUAGCAACUCAAGCCACCUACGUUGUCGCAAAUUCAAAUCUUUCUGUGUCAUCAAAUACUUUAAACUUUUAUGAUCGGUAUAGAUAUGACAUUUUUCACCAUACAAGUAAUGACGCCAUAUUUUCAAUGCAAACACAAUGGCUGCUAAUUCAAGAUCAUGUACCGGGUAAUUCUUUUCAUGUGGUUUUAGUUGUCUUUAAGCAUAGGCUAUUACUUUACCUUCUUGCAUUAAAAUACAACCCAAACCAUUUAAUGAAGCAUCACUAUAAAAAAUAAAUUCCUUACCCAGUUCAGGCUGUACUAAAACAGGUGCUUUCGUCAAUAGAUUUUUCAAUCUGUCAAAACUCUGCUGGCAUUCUUCAGUCCACUCGAACUUUACAUCUUUCUGCAAUAGACGUGUCAUCGGAGAAGCUAUCGUAAAAAAUCCCUGUACAAAUCUCCUAUAAUAUCCAGCUAAUCCCAGGAAACUUCUAACUUCAGACACAUUCUUCGGCGGAUUCCAAUUGACGAUAGCUGAAAUCUUACUCGGGUCUACCCUGAUGCCUUCAGCAGAUACAAUAUGUCCAAGAAACUCAACUUCCCGAAACCAAAAAUCACAUUUACUAAAUUUAGCAUACAACCGCUUUUCACGCAAAUUUUGUAGUACAAUUCUUAAAUGAUCUGCAUGCUCAUUUUCAUCUCGAGAAUAAAUCAGAAUAUCAUCAAUAAGUACUACCACAAAUCUGUCUAAGUACGAUCUGAAUAUUCUAUUCAUCAGGUCCAUGAAUACAGCAGGUGCAUUUGUCAAUCCAAACGGCAUCACGAGGAACUCAUAGUGCACAUACCUGGUUCUAAAAGCAGUCUUCGAUACAUCAGACUCCUUUACUCGUAACUGAUAGUAACCCGAUCGAAGAUCAAUCUUUGAAAAUACAGCGGCACCCUUCAGUUGAUCAAACAAGUCUUCAAUCCGAGGCAAUGGAUACUUAUUCUUUACUGUAACUUUAUUGAGCUGCCUGUAAUCGAUACAUAGUCUCAAAGACCCGUCUUUCUUUUUCACAAACAAAACCGGAGCACCCCAAGCUGAAUGACUAGGUCGAGCAAAACCCCUAUCAGUAAGCUCUUGCAACUGUGCUUUCAACUCUUUCAACUCGGUAGGAGCCAUUCUAUAAGGUGCUAUAGAGAUUGGAGUGGUUCCUGGAACUAAAUCUAUAGAAAAUUCUACCUCCCUUUCUGGUGGUAACCCGGGUAAUUCUUCUGGAAACACAUCAGGAAAAUCACAUACAAUCGGCACUGAUUGAACUUUUGACUCAGAUACUUUAGUGUCCAAUACAUAAGCAAGAUAUGCAUUACACCCUUUUCUGACAUACCUCAAUGCUGUCAUAACUGAAAUUACAUCAGGCAACUUAUUUAAUUCAUCAGAUUCAACCCGGAGCAAUUCACCAUUCUGACAUUUUAUUACAAUGUACUUCUAUUUACAAUUCACUACUACAUCAUGUUGAGUUAGCCAAUCCAUUCCCAAAAUCACAUCAAAUUCGUCAAAAGGCAAUAGCAUUAAGUCAGCUAGAAAACAAUAACCCUUUACCAUCAGUGGACAAGUUUUACAAAUUUUAUCCACUAUAACAUCUUGGCCCAGGGGAUUUGAAACUUUAACCGCAAAUCCAGUGUAUUCAACAGGUAAAUUUUUAACAGACGCCAACUUUGUACAUAUGUAUGAAUGUAUAGAACCAGGAUCAAUCAAAGCGAUAACAUCAGUAUCGAGUAAAGAAAAUGUACCAGUAAUGACGUCUGGAGCAGAAGCAUCUUCUCUGGCUCGAAUGGCAUACGUCCUAUGCUAUUAAAAAAAAUAAACAUGUAUGAUAUAAUAAAUUUAUCAUUUCUUACAUUAAUUUACAUUUCAAUUUAUUCCAUAACUAAAAUUAUUUUCAUUUCUAUUAUAAUCUAUGCUUUAUUUUUAUUUAAAUUCUACUUAUAACUUAGUUUAACUCCCAAAUUUUCACUAAUAAACCCCAAUUUCAAACUUCUUAUAAUUUACUCCUUAUUGCAAUCUAUUUCACAAUUCAAUCUCUCUUUUUUUUCUCAAUUCUAAUUUGAAUUUUUCAUAAGUUCAAUCUCUAAUUUAUCCAUAAAUUCAACAAUAACUAUAUAUAAAAAAAAUCUAAUAACUCUCAAAAUUUCAACAUAUACCUAAUAGUAUUUUGUUCUAGGAUCAUAAAAACUCAAUAAUUACAAGAAAAUGAAUUAAAUUGACUUACCAAAUUGAAUUUGAACCCUUGAAAUCUCAAAUUUUCUUUUUUUCUUUUUUCUUUCUCCCUUUUUCUCUAUUUCGUCCCUGCGAUUCUGUUUGUUCCUUUUUUUCUAUUAUGUUUCUUUACUUUUCUUAUGUUUUAUAUAUUAUAUUAUAUUAUAUUAUAUAUAAUAAUAUAAUAUAUUAUAUAUUAAUACUUAAAUAUUAAGUUAAUAUAAUAUAUAAUAUAUAUUUUUAUAUAAAAAAUAUCUUAGAUUUUUUUUUCUUUCAACAUUAAACCGACUCAUUUAAUAAUAAGGGCAUAUUUACCUAUUUAGUCCUUUUUAUUUUCUUUAAUCUAUAAUUAAACUUUCACACUUAUUUCAAUCUAAUCCUUUUUCCUAAUUACUUCUAAUUAAGUCAAAUUCACCUAAUCAAAACCUAAUUAGACACACAACUAACUUCGUAAAUAUUUGUAAUAAAUAUUUACGAAUCCGAUUUAUCGGAACGGAGUCUCGAGAAUGCAUUUUUUUUUCUUUUUAACAAUUUAACUAUAUAAUCAAUAAAAUUUUCCUAUCAAAAUUUUCAUGCAGUAUUCCUAUCGUAAUAUAGACUAUGCCACAAUAUUAAAAUAAUUUUUCUUUCUAGAUCGGAUUCGUGGUCACGAAACCACUAUUCUGAUUUUUUUACUGAAAAUGGGCCAUUACAUCUCGGGUAAGGGGUGUUUCAUUUAUUUGAAUCAAGGCAAAGGUUUAAUCGGUUUUCGGAAUGUUCAGUAUGAGUAAGAGUCUAGCUAUACAUGCCAUAUUGAACUAUGAUAGUGUGACGACUCCCGACCCAGAUAUAAAAUGUUUUUUCAGACAGAUGCGCACCCCAACUGAGCUAAGUUUGAUAGUACAGACAAUAUGUUUAUGAUGAGUUGAGGCUCAUAAAAUGUAAGAAUAAUGGUUCAUGAUGUUUAUGUGAUAAUGAAUAAAUUGUGAUAAUGGUUCAUGAUGUUUAUGUGAUAAUGAAUAAAUUGUGAAUAAGAAUUGUUCAGGAAAUGUGAAAGAUGAGAUAAGAUGAAAGGAAAGAUUAUAUUUAGAUAAGUGUUCAUGUUAAAUUGGCAUUUGUAUGAUGCUAUAUGUAUAACUAGAGAAGUUAAGUGAAUGCUAUGAGUAAUUUUACUCGAGAUUUAUGAAUGCAUGUAUAAGUGCACUAAUUUGCAUAAGAUGAUCAUGAAGUCAUUGUAUUAUGAAUGUGCAUGUUAAGUUGCUUGAAGCAAAUUGUAUAAUUGUGAUAAUAUUUUAAUAUGAUGAGUGUUAAGUUAUAUGCAUAAGAAUGUAAGAGGUAAGUCAGAGGUGUUACAACGUUUCUCUAUGUUUAAUAUAAAUUUGCAAAGCUUAAACAUUCAAAUUGAUCACGAGCUCUAACACAUGUCUUCAACAUAUUGUUAGUCAUAUAAUUCGCUAUCUUUUCUUGUCGAUCACAAUCUCGACUAACAAAUUUAUAUAAGUGAACUCAAUAUUGUUAACUACUUAAAUACUAUCACUUUACUUCACAUUUCAUUUGAACAAUAAUAUUUUCCAUUCAUAUCUAGUUCAGAGAUACAUAAUUCAUAUGUCUCACUCAUACUUCACUUCACUGUUCAAUAUCAAUAAAUAGUAUUCAACUAUUCACUUCUCAAUCAGUAUUCUGCACUUAUCCAUUUCAAUAACAGUCAGUAUUUUUCGGUAACAAUCAAUUGAUCUUUAUUAUUCAGUAACAAUCAAUCAUUACAGAAAUCAGUCAUUCAGUACUUUUAUUUACCCCUAUUAAUAUCACUCGGACAUAGAUGGAUACACGAAUCCAACCAAUACACCAGUACGACACUCAGUGCCUCAUCGGCUUUGCCGAAGUAAACAGUAACAAUACGGUACUCAGUACCUCAUCGGAUUAAACCGAUGUAACAGUAGCAGUAUGACACACAAGGUGCCUUAUCGACUCAAAGUCGAAGUAACAGUACGACACUUAUAAUGCUUCAUCGACUCAAGGUUGAAAUAUCCCUAAACACUUCCAAUCCUAUGGCAUGCCAACUAUAUUUCGAUACUGUUAAUAGGGCUUUAAUCAAUUUUCAAUUUUCAAUCAAUACCCAUUUCAAUUUAAUCACAUAAGUUAAUAAUUCAAUACAAUUCAAUUUACUUUUUAUUAACAUGCAUUCGAAUUCCACAAAUAUCACAAAUGCAUAUUUAUUUCAUCACAUUCCCAAUCAAUUUAAUUUUCAAUAUAACAUACAUUCAAUAUUCAAUUUCCACAUCAAUCACAUAUAUCCAUAUAAUUUCAGUAAAUUUAUCACAUACCAAAUCAAUCCAUUUCAAUUGUAAAACACAAUACAAAUAAUUCUCACCUAAAUUAUUUACUAUAACAUUUAAUCAAAAUACAACAAUUAAUAAUUAAAUUCACUUUUCAUUUUCAACCAAUGUUCACUCCAAUUCAAAUAAUCAUCUCAAUGCACUUACUGUACAUAUUAGAUAAUAAUUUCAACAAUUAAAUAUUAAGAUCGAAUUAUAGAAAUACAAAUAAAACAUUAUAUCAUUUCUAAUUCAACGUUUAUCAACUAUAAUCAAGCCUGUUAUCAAUUUAUACACAAGUUGUUCAUAUAUUUUUCCUCCUCCUCUUCUCCAUCCACAUCCUUAGUAUAAAUAACACACUUGUAAGUAACAUUAUCUAUAAUUUUUACUAUUUACUUAUAUGAAUAUUCAAGUUGUUCAUCUAUGUCAUAGUCACUAAAUUAUUUCUAUCUUGAACCACAGAACUCCAAAUUAAGUUUAGUUAAUUUUCCCUGAAACUAGACGCAUAUAUCUUCUUACCAUAAAAUUUUUAAAAUUUUUGGUUUCGCCAAUAAGUACAGUUUAUUCUUUAAAGUCACCCACGUUCUGCUAUCUCAAAUUUCCGACCCUUCUACACUAAAAAUUAAUCAUAUCAUUGUACAGGGUUCGAAUGAUCUUUAUGUUUAUUUCUCUUGAAAAUAGACUCAUUCAGGGUUCUAAACAUAUAAAUUUAAGCCCCUAAUUAUUUUUCUUCAAUUUUUUAUGAUUUUCCAAAGUCAGAACAGAGGAACCCAAAAUCAUACUAACAUUGUCUGACAAAAUUUAUUAUAUCUCAUGAUUUACAAUUCCAUGCUAACAUCAUUUCUUCUAUAAGAAACUAGACUCAGUAAGCUUUAAUUUCAUGUUUUAGUCAUCCUCUAAUUCGAUUUAAACAAUUUUUGGUGAUUUUUCAACUUCAUACAACUGCUGCUGUCCAAAAUUAUUUUAUGUAAGAUGUUAACUACCAUUUUGCCUCUAAGCUUUUAAUAAGUGACAAUUUCAUCCCUGCUCAAUUAACCUCUCAAUUGAGCUAAUUUACUCAAUUAAUACUUUAUUACUUUAAACUACUUUAUAAUCUUAGAGAUUAGAAUUUCAUCACUAAACUAUAAUUCUAAACUUUUUCACCAUUAGGUCCUAAAAUCAAUUUUCACCAAUUUUACUUAAUAAAAUCAUCAUAUAUCAAAAUUAAAGCUUCAAAUCUAUGUUUAUGCAUCAUAUGCUUCCAGAACUCAUCCAUAGAAACUUUAAAAAUUAGCCAUGAAAUCAAAAACUAAUGCCAUAGUAAGUUGGACCCAAUUGUAAAAGUCCAAAAUAUUAGAAAUUUUAAGGAGAAAGCAAGAAUUAAACUUACAUGAAACUAGAGAAUGAAAACCAGAUUUAAUCCUCUUCCGUGGCUGUUUUUCAGCUGAAGAAAAUGAAAAAAAAUGAAGAGAAUUCUAGAUAUUCCAAUUUGGUCUCAUUUUUAUUUAGUUAAUUUUGGUAAUUUUCUAAUUUUGCCCUUAUUUCACCCAUUUCCCGAUUUUUCUCAGCUAUUGUAGCCCAAAAUAUCUCCUUUAGGCUUAUUUUCACUUUAGGUCAUUCUUCAUUUGACAAUUGAGCUAUUUAAUCCUUUUAGCAAGUUUUACGCCUUUUUUCAAUUUCGUCCUUUUUAUUUAAUUAACCACCCAAACAUCAAAAUUUUCUGACCAAAUUUUAAUACUAUCUUAUUGACACUCCGUAAAUAUUUACAAAAAUAUUUAUGGCUUGAUUUAUAACAUUGAGGUCUCGAUACCUCUUUUCCUCAAUUUAUUAACUUAAUAAAUCUUUAUAAAACAUAAAAUUACUAAUUCAAAAAAUCUCUCAAAAAUAACAUUUGGUUUGUAAUUAUUAAAUAAAUAAAUUUUCGAACUUAUUUACCGAAUUUAGUGGUCUCAAAUCACUAUUUUCGACAUCAUUGAAAGUCGACUAUUACAAACACGUUUGUGUCUCAAGCACUGUGGGCAAUCGAAAUAGGGACACACGGCCGUGUCUAGCCCGUGUCCGUACCUGUGUAACUCUCUGACUUGGGUCACAUGGUCAAGUCACACAACCGUGUGAGCAUACUGACUUGCAUUAAGAAGAUACAGGGGACAUAGCUGAGACACGUGCCCGUAUCUCUACCAGUGUGGACAAAAAUAGGCCAUUUUCUAAGCCACAUUUCUCACCUAAAUUGACACAAAUCUAGCAUCAACAAUUUAUACAUCAACAAGCCAUAACAAGGCAUUCAACAUAAGCUAAAAUCAAGUCUUAAACAUGUAUUAUUACCACAUACAACUAAUAUACCCAUAGGUACCUCAAAUGACAACUUAAAAUUAUGUCCACCAAAUAUUCAAACUUACCUAAUUAAUUUACCUAACCAAGUUGCCAAAGUUCACUAUAAUCAAAUACAUACAUACAUAUCUCACUUAUACUAACAUCACAAUUAUACCUUAAUCUCUUACCAAUAUGUAGGUUAAUUAUAUAAAUAAAAUAUUAUUUAUAAUAUUUACAUAAAUUAAACUUUGAUCAAGACCGUACAAAAGCCUAUACACGUCAUAUAAACCAUAUUUAACGUUUCAAAAACUACGUACCGAGAUAAGUUGUAUAGUGUGACUUGAGUAUUGAUUCGAUUGCCUAACCAUCCGAAAAAUCUACAAAGACAUUAAACAAUACAAAUAAGCUUAUUGAAGCUUAGUAAGUUCGACGGGUUAAAUAAAAAUCUUACCGAACUAACUAUAAUAAUAAUUUAGGUAUUAAUAAUCAUCCAUGACAAUUUCCUAUCAUUUACAACUUCAAUCGAUAAAUACAUUCGUAUUCAAAUCAAUACAAAAUAAAUCACAUAUCUUUCAAUUUUUAUAAAUAAAUCACCUUACUGAGAUUUAUCCAUUCGAAAAACGACUUGUGGAUAAGAGUACAUUGUUAAUAGAAGCUCAUAAGAGCUGGUUCUCCCAAAUAAGUCAAUAGAAGCUCGAAAGCUAAACAAAAGCUCGUAAGAGCUGAUCCAUCCAAUUAUGCCAAACAGAAAGGAAAACACGAGAAUUCGAAAAAAUGCUGAACCUUGGUUUACAUUGGAAUAAUCCCGAUAUCUCCCUCCAAUACCGUCAUACACCAAAUCACAAAUGCACUCAAAUCUUGUGUUCAAUUCAAACCGAAUAACCAUUUCAAUAUUAUAAUUAAAACAAUAAAUUAUUUCUAACAAUAAUAUAUAUAAUACCAAUAAUUAAUUUAUACAAAUGUAAAUUUUAAUCGUACGAGCUUACCUGGACUGAAUUAUAGUAAUUGCAGAAGUUCAAGGACUAUUCCACUAUAUUUUUCCUUUUUCACAAGUAUCUACGAGAUCUUGAUAUAGAAUAUAAAAAUUACUCAUUUAUUAGCAUAUAUCUCAUUUCCAAUUCAUUUUACAAUUAAUACCCUUUAUUUUUUGAAUUUAUGCAAUUACCCCAAACUUUUACAGUUUUUGCAAUUUAAUCUCUUAAUUAGUUAAUCUAUCAAAUUAACUAAUUUUCUCAAUCAAUAAUCUAUACAAAUAUUUUAGGCCUUCAUAGAGUCCCUAAUAAACCCAAAAUUCAUUAUCAAAUCCUAAUAUUUUAACAUUUUUACAAUUUAAUCCUAAAAUCAAUAUUUAACAAAAUCACUUUAUAAAAUCAUCAUACAACACAAUCAAAACUCUAAAUUCAUGUUAUUUCAAAAACAUAUAAUAUUUAUCAAUUUCAACUUCCAAAUUUUUUUAUAAAAUAAAAAACGAAGGUACGGUUUAGUUGGAUCUAAUUGUAACUGUAAUAGCCCGAUUUUAGGCUUAGUCGGAACAGUGGUUUCGAGACCACAAAUUCGACGAAAAAAAAAUGUAAUGGCUUGAAUUUUCAGAGGUGUCGGAACGGUGAUUCGAGAUCACUAAAUUCGACAAAUUGGUAGAAAAUAUUAUUAAUUUAGUAAGUAUAAGUUAAAUAUGAAGUUAGGAAAAAUUUUUGAAAUAGUGAAUAGUGCACUAGAAAUAAAUAUUAAAAUAAUUAGAAUCGAAAUGAGGUAUCAAGACCUCGGGGAUUUUAAACUGAGCCAUAAAUAUUUUUAUAAAUAUUUAUGGAGUGUUAAAAAGUUAGUAUUAAAGUUUCGUUAAGAAAUUUUAAAGUUCCGAUAAUUAAUUGAACAAAAAGGACUAAAUUGUAACAAAUGCAAAAUUUUGGGAAAUGAUUAAAUAGCUUAAAUGAUAAAAGGAAGAGGGCUUAAAAAGCAAAUAGACCCAAGGUCUAUUUGGGCUGGACGGCAGAGGCAUGAAAUCAGCAAGAAAGUAAGGAGAAUUAAGGGCAAAAUUGGAAAAUUGCAAAAUUUGCUUAAUAAAAUUAGGACCCAAGUGGAAUUAUCUAGAUUUCUCUUCAUUUUUCUGAAUUCUCAUCAGCUAAAACACCACGGAAGGGCUUCUUCAAGCUGGUUCUUCAUAUUUUUAUUACAAGUAAGUUCAAUUCUUGACUAUUUCUUGAAAUUUUUGUAUUUUUAUGACUUUUACAACUAGGCCCACUUGUUAAAUUCAUUAGUUUUUGAUUUUAUGAAAGAAGUUGAAAGUUGAUAUGAAUAUGUGCUGGAAGUAUAUGAUGAUUUAGCAUGAAAUUAGAGCUUUAAAUUGUUCAUAUGCUGAUUUUAUUGAAAGAAUUGAAUAGAAAGUGAAUGUUUGGGACCUAAUAGUAAAAGAGUUUGAAGAUAGAGUUAUAUGUGGAAAUUCUGAAUUUCAAUAGUUGUGUAACAACUUAUAAUGUCUAGUAAAGUACUAAUUGAGAAAAUUAGAUUAAUUGAGGGGUUAAUUGAGAAAGGACCGAAUUGUAUAAACUGUGAAAUUUGGGGCAAAAUGGAAAUCAACAUUUUGCACUAAAGCAGUUUUGGACAGCAGCAGUAGUGUAACUUUGAAAAAUCACCAAAAAUUGUAGAGAUUGAAUUAGAUGAUGAAUAAAAUAUGAAAUUAAAGCUUAUUGAGUCUAGUUUCUUAUAAAAGAAAUUAUGUGAGCAAUGGAAUUGUAAAUCAUGAGAUAUAAUAGAUUUUGUGAGACAAGGUCGGAAUGAAUUCGGGUUCCCCUGUUCUGACUUUGGAAAAUCAUUAAAAAUUGUACAGAAAUUAUUAUGAGUUAUAGUUUAUAUGUUUAGAAUCCUUAAUGAGUCUAUUUUUAUAAGAAACAAGCUAAAACAUCAUCCAAAUUCUGUACAAUGAGAUAAUUAAUUUUUAGUGAAGAGUGGUCGGAACUGUCAGACAGCGAAACAGGGGAAACUUAAAAGAAUAAAAUGUACUAUUUGGCUGAACCAAAAAUUAUGAAAAUUUUAUGGUAUGAAGAUAUGUGAGUCUAGUUUCAGGGAAAAUUAACGGAUCUUAAUUUGGAGCUCUGUAGCUCCGGAUAAAAAUAAUUUAGUGACUCUGACUCGGAUAAACAGCUUUGAAUAUACAUGUUAGUGAAUAUUGAAAUUAUGGUUAAUAUUGUUUAAGUGUGUUAUACACAUUAAGGAUGUGGAAUGGAGAGGAGGAGGAGGAAAAUUGGGAAAUAUAUGAAUGAUUCGUGUAUAAAUGGUCAUAUGUUUGAUUAUAACUCAUAAACGAUGAAAUAUGAAUGAUGCUUAUUUUUGUGCAUUAUUGGUCAUGGUUUAAGCUCAUGUGUGAAAAUAAAGUUUCAUAGUAUGUGUGUAUGGUAUAUUCAGUAUAUGAUUUGGCAUGAAAUAAUACCAUGAAUGGUUUAUGAAUUAACACAUGUUGGUAAGCCUGAUAUAUGAAUAAAUGAUCAAACUGAGCGGAACGCCGGAUUUGAGUACUUCUGAUCAAGUGACAAAGUGAUAAGUGAUAGCUUCAGCUACACUUAUCUGAUCAAGUGACAAGUGGAAAGUGAUAAGUGAUAGCUUCGGCUACACUUAUCUGAUCAAGUGACAAGUGAAAAGUGAUAAGUGAUAGCUUCGGCUAUACUUAUCUGAUCAAGAGACAAAGUGAUAAGUGGCUACACUUAUCUGAUCAAGAAACAAAGUGAUAGGUGGCUACACUUAUCUGAUCAGGGACAAGUGAUAAGUGAUCAUACGUAAGACCAUAGUUAUACUAUGGCAAAGUGAAAGUGAAGUACUCAAUUUUCCGUGACCGUUCCCUAAUUUGAUUAAAGAUGGUAAGUGACAAAUGGGCCCAAAAGAAUUAAAGUAAAUGGAUAAGUGGUAGUGUAUUUAUAUCAGGACGAUGUUGUUAUUCAAACUAAAGUGAUAUUUUCAUUGCUAAAUUGAGAAUUUCAUAAAUGUGUUAUUGAAUGGUAUAAUCAAUAAACAUUGAGUUAAAUGGUAAAUACGUAUUAGUUUUGAAUUUGAUGUCAUUGAAUUGUACGUGAAUUAAAUGGAAAUUUCUAGUGAUAUGAUUUAAAUUAUGAGCAUGAGAAAUUGCGAAUUGAAUGAAAUGGAAAUGAAGCAUUAAAUUGCAUGAGUAUGUAUCGGGUCUCGCAGGCCCUAAUUAUUAUGAUUAUAAUAUUUUAAGGAUAUAUUGUGAAAAGUUAUAGAAACAUGUUAAUUAUUUUUGAAAGUUUUAAUUUUGAUGAAAUUUUAUAACUCGGUUAAAUACGUUUACAAGUGUAUGUGUUUUGGUAAUGCCUCGUACCCUAUUCCGGUGUUGGAUACGGGUAAGGGGUGUUACAGUAACAAUCUCAAAAACAUAAAAAUUACAAGAAACGGGUAAGAAUUGAACUCACAUGAAUCAAAAAUAUGAAAAACCGGCUUAAAGCUCUCUCUCCUAGAAUUGCAAAGAAAGCUUUAAAAUUCAAAUUAUUGUUUUAAUUUCAUCAAAAUUACCAUUUUGUCACUCCAUUACUUUAUUUUAUUAUUUUAUCUUCAUAUGUAGCAUCAUCACUUUAAUUUAGGUAUAUUUAUUACUCAAGUCCUUCCUUAUUUAUUAAUCAAGUAAUUUAAUCACUUAAUUAUUAUAAUUAGCAAGUUUUGCAUAUUUUUCAAUUUAAUCUUUUUUUAAUUAAUUAUCUAUUGAAACGUUAAAAUUUUUCAAAGAAACUUUACUACCACCUUAAUGACACUCUAAAAAUAUUUAUAAAAAUAUUUGCGGCUCAGUUUAUAGAAACAAGGUCUAGAUACUUCACUUUCUAAAACCACUUGACCUAGGGUCUUACCACUCGAACCUAAAAAAUCAUUAUAAAACAUAAAUUACUAAUUCAAAAAUAUUUUUUUAAAACCAUAUUUGACUCGUAAAUAUUAAAUAAUAAUAUGUACGAACUUACUCGCCGAAUUUGGUAGCCUCGAAACCACUAUUUUCGACACCACUGAAAAAUCGAGUUGUUACAAGGGUGAUAUCACGUGAUUUGAACUCGUGUCAAAUAGGUGUUUAUUAAGAGCUUUCAAUAUAAAGUGAGAAAAGAUCGUAUGAAACAGGGAUGUCAAGUCAUUUUGUAUCCAUUUCCAAUUAUUUAAAGACAUUUCAAUAAUUUUUUCAUGUCAUUAAUACAUAAUUUUAGUAAUUUUUUUAACCUUAAUCUCAAACCCUGAACCUAAAACUCGACUCAAAUCUUUAAUGAACCUUAGUUCAAAUUUAAAGUUUGACUUCAAGAUUAAGAUUUGGAUUCAAUGUUCAAGGUUAAAAAAUAUGUAUAAAUGAUAUGAAAAAAAUUAUUGAAAUAUCUAAGAUGUUUACAUAAGAAUUGCCAAGUGAUUUGAUGUAAUAGAAUGAUUUUAUAUUAUAUUUAAUCGGUAUCACCAAUAUUUGACAGCUAACCAUACAAUAUUAACAUUUUCAAAACCAUUUCUCUAUAGCUUCCGUUUUCUUUUCAAUUUUGAAGUUAUUGGGUGACUGCAAAAGAGGUCCACGUUUAACAUCAAAUGGAUUUGUGUCACAUCUAGUGUACUUGUAAAAAGGGUACACUUAAAAGUGGGCAUUCAAUACAACAUGAAAGAAGCGAAUAGCUUAAUCUACAGAUUUACUGGCAUAUGUAUGUAACAUGGAAGAAUUGAAUAUAACCUGUCACUAAUACAACAACAUCCGUGACAAAAGAUAGGAAGAAAAAUAAACCGAUCCGAGUAAAAGUUUGAUAAUGAUAAUCAUACUAAUAUGAUAGAUCAAAGUUUUAUAAUUAUAAAAUACGUAAUUGAUUGGCCCCACACAAUCCCAAAGCUCUAAAUUACGAAGGAAAAAAAAUAAUACAAAAAGAACAGAUUCCUUGUAGCUUUAAAUUGGAAUCUGUAACACAAAAGAUUUUUGCAUUGCUUUGGUCAAAAUUUAAUAACUAGACAUUUUGCACUCUACUUUACACACACGGUUUGAUCUUUCAACCCCACUACUGAAAUUGAAGGAGGAAGAUGUAAUUAGCAUCACCAAAGAUUAAAUUAAACUAGUUAAAUAUGUCAAAAGCUUGGUUUGGGUCCAAUAAUACAAAACAUCAAGACCCACCAAAAUCACAUUCUAACCACCAUAUCUUCUAGACCCUAAAGACUAAAACUCCACACAUGAUUUCUUUUGCGUUGACCGGAAUGCCCUUGUUCAUGGGUUGUAAUUACGAUCGAGGACGGAGAGCAUCCAACGGUCUAUGAGCGGCGGAUGGAGCCCAAGGGUUGAUGUGGAAAGCUCUCUGAUGGGUUUGGGCUAGUUGAUGAUGGGACCGUGGAUCAACGGUGGUGGAUGAUGGUGGGUUGGGUGGGACCGCAACCCUCUCACAUGAUGUGCACAUGGUGAGGGUAGUGGGUGGGGUCAUUUGCAUGUAGAACUGGGUGGAGGAAAGUUUCAGCGCUCUCAGCUCCUGAACUUCUUUCUGCAACCGUUGGUUCUCCUCCGUCAGAUUCUCACAGCAUCUCUUAAGGAACUCACAGUCAACCUCCGUUUGCUUCAGCUUGGUCCUGCAUAAACAAUUUUCAAAGUCAUAUUUAGUACAUAAUUUAAAACUGAAAUUACAUAGUUACCCCCAAAAAUGGAGGAAAUCUCUUACCUUGCCCUUCUGUUUUGAAACCACACUUCGACUUGUCUGGGUCGUAAUCCCAGCUGCUUAGCCAAUGCUAACUUUUGUUUCUGCAAAAGAUAGUAAAAUUCAACAACCCAUUAGAGACUAAAUUUUCCAUUUUUAACUUCUCGUAUACUUUUCUUAGCAGCCAAACAGUAGUUUUCAUAUGAAAAGUUUCUAUUUGAAUUUACUUACGGGGUUGAGAGUGUUGUGUUCUUUAAAGUUUUCCUCCAGAAUAGCAGACUGAUCUUUAGAAAGUCUAAGCUUUUUUCUCGAAGUGUCGCCAUCUUCUUCGUCGCUGAUUCCACGAGAUGACGAUUUUUCGAUCUCAAGCUCGUCUCCGUUGCCUUCUCUUUCGCUCCUUUUUCCACUCACGCUCGAUAUCGUGCUGUUCGGAGAUGAAACCCCAGCUUCUUCUUCACAAUCUGCCGUCGAUGGCAAUAUGUUCAUGUCGAUUCCUCUAAAAAUUGACCCCAUCUCCGCCCGGAAUGAUUCCGAGUUAUGAUCUGCGUGCAAAAAAACCAUUUCAUAUAAAUAAAGGUUAGAGAUUGUUCUUUUUUUUCCAUGGAAGAGAUCUAGAUAAGAAAAAAAAAGUAGCAAAUUUAGAGGCUUUUGUUUUUUUGCAUGUGAAAUGAGAACAGUGCAGGUGAAAACUAUUGCCAAAAAAAGCUACGUCAAACAUUGAAAAAGCAAUACAAAAGCAUUUAUAAGGGGAAAAUGAUACUGAAGCAUCGUUUGUUUCUCGGGAAAAAAAGAAGAGAUCUGAAAGGUGAUAUAUGUCCCAUGCAAAGACAGAAAGUAGGAGAAGAAACAAACCUGAAGGAGGAGAAGAAUCAUUCCAUGAGUGUUUGUUAAGGGUUAAAGUAGAAGGAGAAGAGCAAGAAUUAGCAGAGGAAGG
rnacentral:lncRNA from 1 species